rnacentral:tRNA from 1 species
AGCAGAGUAAGCUAAAUUAAGCUUUUGGGCCCAUACCCCAACAAUGUAGGUUAAAACCCUGCCUCUGUCA